GCGCCGUUCCCAACGUCGGGUCGCCAUCUUUUGUUUCCCGAAGGAAGAAAACAAAGCGAGGAAAGUUUGCGGUAGGGAGCACGACCGUGGCUACCAAGACGGCUGACGGCGCAGUACCCGAGGCGUUUGGCGGGCCCGAUAGUAAACGAACAUAACGGGAUGAUCUGUGGACUGCCCACGAGUACGCACUCAGCAUUGAUGGCAGGCUCAUGGUUCAGAAGAUACCAGACGUCCCUACGGCAUGGGCUGCACUCUUCGCGAGUCACUAUUGCUUUAACAUCUGCUACGCUGAAGGCCUGUCAUCGACCCUCGAGUUCCUUCAGAGAGGUUUCCUGAGCAUGAACCCUGACCGUGGCACCAGAGCCAAGCGCUCCAAGUCGGAAGUGAACAAGAAAGUACUUAACCUGGUCAAGAAAAUAGCAGAGCUGGAGUGGAAUGUGUGAGGCUGUCGGUCAUCUUAUGUGGGAACGAGGCAUGCGACAUGGGGCUCGGGCUCAUUCAACGCAAGGUCUUGGCACCAGGAAGAUUUCAGCAGCCAUAAGCAAUGGCACUUGGGUCUAAAUUUGGUGAGUAUGAUAAUGAUCGAGCACCCAGCUGCUUGUGUGAA